rnacentral:rRNA from 1 species
UAGCCGUAAACGAUACUCGCUAGGUGUCGGCCACGGUGCGACCGUUGUCGGUGCCGUAGGGAAGCCGUGAAGCGAGCCACCUGGGAAGUACGGCCGCAAGGCUGAAACUUAAAGGAAUUGGCGGGGGAGGCACCACAACGGGUGGAGCUUGCGGUUUAAUUUGGAUUCAACGCCGGAAAUCUUACCGGGACCGACAGCAACAUGAAGGCCAAGCUGAAGACUUUGCCGGAUUAGCUGAGAGGAGGUGCAUGGCGUAGUCGUGU